rnacentral:lncRNA from 1 species
AACUGAGACCUACACCCAAUUAGCUCUAAUUCUCAGGGCUUUGGACUUGGACAGGAAUUACAGCAUUGACUUUCCUGGGACCCCAGCUUACAGAUGGCAGACGGUGGGCUUUAGCUUCUGAAAUCAAGAUUCUUGAAGUCCAGAAUGACCCAGGGGAGAUGUUAUGUUACAACUUGAGCUCUUUCACUAACGUCUUAUCAGGAGAGACGAAGAAUGAAACUAAGGGCCUCUGCAUUCCUGUGGCAAGAAGGGAUCUUGUGCAUCUGGUGUAGGCUGGUAUGUUGGGUCUGGAGGCUAAAUGUCCAAGAUCAAGAUGUCGGCAAGACUGUAUUCCUUCUGAAGGAACCAAGGAAGUAUCUGUCCCGGGCCUUUCUCACAGCUUCUGGUAGUUCCUUAGCUUGCAGCAUAUCUCCAAUCUGUACAUGGCGUUCUCCUUGUGUGUGCAUCUGUCUCUUGCAUUCCUCCUAUAGCUGUUAGGCCACACUGCCUCUCUCGUUGUGCCUCAUUUCUUUUAUCCACACCUGUUUGGUUUCUAUCAGAGGUCCAGCAAAGAGUUUGGGAGCAUCUCUGAUUUCAGGAUCUCAAGACCGUCCCUCCUGUGAGUAGGGAGAGGUUCUUCUCUGCAUCCAGGGUCCCUACAAAAGGUGCAAGCCUUCUGAACAGCCCUGCUGACUGACUUCCUUUUAAAAUGCCAGAACCAUUAAGUACAGUAAAUUUGUUCUCCUAGAGAGGGUGGGUUGCAGUCAGCAGGAGUAAAAGCCAUGCCACUUAUUGGUCUAAAAAGGUAUUUAGCAGCUACAAAUAACCUCCUGGAUUAAUGGAAUCAACAGUCUUUAGGUCUCUAGAUGUAAAGGGCCCAUUUAUUCGACAUCCAUUCAUUUAUUCAACAAGCCGUGGUGCCGGUUUGGGUCGAGCUAAUUCUGAAUUGAGACUGCUGUCCUUCCUCUUAAGGCUUUCUUCAAUAAUUAUUCUGUUAUUGACACAUCAGUGACCCCACCAUGACUAAUGGGUUAGUAUUACUGAGAGAUGCAGCUAAAGGUCACCUCGGAGUGGGGGGCUGUGGGGGGGAGGCGAGCUGACAUUUCCAUGGUGCACUGUGGAGCAAAUGGAGAUUUUAAGGGGGCAGAGCCCACUCCGUCUUUACAGGAGACUAGAGUGCCAUUACAAUGCUGCGUAAUCAAAUUUCUUCCUUUUCUGCAAUCUUUGUUCCAUUUAUUAAUUAAGUGAAAUGACACAAGAGGGUGAGCGCCGGCGGUCUGUGGCACACUUGGGUGUAUUGUUAGGACAGCAGCACCGGCUUGAUUACAGUCAGUGUGAACAGUAGCAGGUUACUUAUUGGGUAAUAAGACUGACCCAGGAGUGUCUUUAUAAGAGUUGAAAGAGGAAUUUUCAGAUAAAAGAGAAAAAAAAAUGUUUUUAAUGAAAUUUAGAAAAUGGGGUCAGAGUACAAUUUAUGGACCAAAUCUUGCCCUCUGGCAUCUGCAAAGAUAGAAAGAAGAGAGGGAGGAGGAAAGACUCAAGAGCCCAGGAAAUUUCUCAUUAGCUCUAUCUCUCCUUUUCCUGUCCAUCUGUAACCCCACGUCAAUGGACUGACUUUAUUUGUAGGCAAGAUAUGCUAUUAUUUUCUCAGGGUUCCUUUUUUCUUUUAAAUACUGGAGGGCUUACCCGUAAAACAGCCUAGCUUACUUUUCUCCAUCAUUGCUUUCCUCUGUGUAGAAUGGGCAGGUGAGUCCUUGGUAGAGUAUUGCCUCACAGAGAAUUCAGGAGAUGCAAUGAGUAUAAAGCCAUCUGUGUUCUGUACCAGAAGACAUGCUGGGAACAGAAACCGGUCAUCAGAGAUCAGUGCCAUGCCCGUAGAAAUGGUGCGAUGAAAGUUUUCUAAAUGAAUAGAUGAACCCAAAAAGGCCUUUACUAUCUGCUCACUGUGGUGGACACGAGGAUGUGCUGUUCAGACCCCUCUCAGACCUGAGGGCCUGAUGCCCCCAGCUGCUGGGGUGCUGCAGGUGGCUGGUCCCUCUGGGUUGUCUGCCUAGGACAGUAGCUUUGCACAAUGGCUGACUGAUGAAGGGGUAGGGAGCCCUGGUCCUCUCACUGAAAUGGGACAGCGUUGAGAGGUCAAUCCAUCUUCAGAACUUCCCAGAGGUUCGGCUGAAAUGUCCACUGAAACUGCAUUGCAGGAGAUCCCGUUGUGGCUCACCAGGUCAAGAACCUGAGUAGUAUCCAUGAGGAGGUGGGUUCAAUCCCAGGCCUUGUUCGUUGGCUUAAGGAUCCAGCAUUACUGCAAGCUGCAGCAUAGGUUGCAGGUGCAGCUCGGAUCUGGGGUUGCUGUGUAGGCCUGGAGCUGCAGCUCCGAUUCGACGCCUAGUUUGGGAACUGCUACAGGCCACAUGUGCGGCCCUAAAAAGAAAAAAAAGAAAGAAAGAAACUGCAUUGCAGCACCACUUCUUCCUCUGCCCAAUUUUGCUUCAUUCUCUUCCUUAUCCUUCCAUAGGUGUCGGAUCCCAAGAGCACUCCCUGAAAAAUGCCCUGCACACCAAUCUCAGUCUCAGAGUCUGCUUCCUAGGGCACCCAAGCUGCAACAUUUGGGAGAUUAUGUAGGUGUCUUGUGCUGUGCUAGAAAUACAAAAAAGCUUGGGGGCUGACUGAAUAGGGUUAAAAAGAUGCAUGCUACCCAUUACUUGCUGAAAGAACUCUUGUUUGUGAUUAGAACUUAUGUGGAAUUUGUAGGCUGGAACACAGCAAAUUCUGCCAGCAGCCUCACCCUACCCCGUCCCUGCUUUAAUCUGGUAUCUAAUGGCUACCGCCCCCUUGGAGCCAAACCCUUGAUCCUCUCCCUUUUAAGGCUGGAACAUGUGGGGCCCUGUUUACUGGAAACAUUGCUAUAGUAUAUAGCAGAUGUUAGUGAAGAAUGGGCACAUGAGGUUAAAUAGUACUUUUUGAUUGGCUUAUUGCAUUUCGACAAGAACAUUAAAGCUAUUAAAAUGUGCAGUUGUGAAACAGGGUCUAUGAUGCCAUCUGCAUAUUUCUGUGACCUAUGUUUACAGGGCCCCAUUCAGUUCUCUAGGGAGUGAAGAACAAUUCCAACAGUGCCUUCUCUUUAUUGUCUUCCCCCAUUUUUCUUUUUCCAGGGCAGACAUCAGGCAGACCUUCUUUGCCUCCUGAAUCUAUGUUUAUUUGCUCCUGCCAUUUGCUUGGCUCUAUUGUUAAGAGAUGAAAAUAUGAGAGAAGAAAAGUUAUGCUCCUUAGAGGCUUUUCUAAUUAACUGUUUGAAAGAGACUUUUAAAAAAUGCCUAAGUGUGAGGUUAUUUGUAUGCCUAAUUCCGUUUUUAUGUUAUACUUACUUUUAAGUGUAAUUUACCAAGGCUUAACACUUGUAUUCUUUCAGGGGCAUUACAAAGAGCAUUGCACAUUUAUUACAGCCCUUCAAAUGGCUGUGUUUUAUUUCCAUAUGCUUUUAAAUGGUUAUUGAGUGGAUUUGGUACUCUUCCUGUAGUUAAAGUGCAUUUUUUUUAUUGUACAUAAAUGGUAAAUAAUUGAUACCUGCCAUAUGUUUCCCUUUCCCUUUCUAAGCUCCCCUUUCCCUUCCCCUCUUCAUUCUCUUCCCUUCUCAGUUCCUAUUGGUUUCUGCCCUUAUCUUGCUCUUUAUCCUUUCCUCUCCUUUCUCUGCAGUUCUCUGCUGCUUUCAACACCAUUUUUCUUGCCUCUCAAUGUGCUCAUUUCAGAGGGGAUUUUUGCAUGGAUUCUUGAGGUCAUUGCAUUAGCUGGUAGGGGUGAAAGAGGCGGGAAAGGGCAUACAGGUUGUUGUUUUGUUUUGUUUUGUUUUUGCUUUUUUUUUUUUAGAUGGUGCCUAGAUCAAGAAUUUUAAAAAGAGAGUGGUUUCAGAGAAUAUUUCUUGAAUAUUUUUUUCCUUCGGAUUGUGAAUUGAUAUCAGGCUAAUUCUUGUUGCCCUGCUUCUCUGACUAACCAGUGACAACCUCUGGAAGCUUGGAUUGAAGGAAAAUGUGGCCAAGUGUCUGAGAUCAUUCUCAGCAGGCAAAGCUGCUCAAGCUGAACAAUUUUAAACAGUGUCUCAUUAGAGAAAGAAGAGGAUAAACAGUGCAAGAGGAAAUUUAAAGACUAUUCAAUGGAAUGAACUUGUUUGAGGGACAUUCCUACUAUAUUGAAGGCACAAAACUAUACAAGUUUUUAUUUCUUUGCUUUUAUAUCUCCAGAAGGCAAAAAUCAAAACCCAUUUAUAGAUAUAACAGCCCACCAACACUAGAAGAGUUUUUCUUUUUGAAAUUUUAGAAAGGAGUUGAAAUUUCAUAUGAAAUGUAAGGCUCCCAGAAUAACCAAAAUAACCUUGAAGAAAAAAAAAAAAAGAACAAAGUUGGAGGACUUAUAUUCUUAAUUUCAAAGCUACAAAGCAACAGUCAUUAUGACAGUAGGGUACUGGGAUAAGGAAAGACAUAUUGAUCAAUUGACUAGAAAUGAGAGCCCAGAAGUAAACAUACGUAUCUAUGAUCAGCUGGUUUUUGAAAAAAAAAAACAAAACAAGACAAAACCUACCUCAUUUAAUGGAGAAAGAAUAGACUUUUCAACAAAUGAUGCUGGUACAACUGGACAGCCACAUACAAGAGAAUGAGCUGGAUCUAUCUUACACCUACACAAAAAUUAACUCAAAGUGGAUUGAAAGCCUAAAUAUAAAAGCUAAACCUGUAAGAUUCCAAGAAGAAAACAUAGGAGUAAACCUUUGUAACUUUGGAUUUGGCAAUGGGUUCUUAGAUAUGACGGUAAAAGCAUAGGCAACAAAGUGAAACACAUGGAUAAAUUUGACUUCUCUUAUAUUAAAAAUUUUUAUUUUUCAAAGUACAUUAUCAGGAAAGUGAAAAGACAACCCACAGAAUGGGUGAAAAUAUUUCCAAAAGAUAUAUCUGAUAAGAAUACUUAGAACAUAUAUUUAGAAUAUAUCAGGAAUUCUUACCAUUCAAUAAUAGACAACCAGAUUUUAAAGUGAACAAAUGAUUUGACUAAACAUUUUUCCAAAGAAAAUAACCAAAAGACCAAAAGCUCAAGAAAAGAUGCUAAACACCAUUAGCAAUCAGGGAGAUGUAAAUCAAAACCACAAUGAGGUAUCAUUUCACACCCACUACAAUAAAGAAGACAGACAAUAAUAAGUGUUGUCAGGAUGUGGAGAAAUUGGAAUCCUCAUAGAAGGUUGGUGGGAAUGUAAAAUGUUGCAGUCAUUUUGGAAAACAGCCUAAUGGUUCCUCAAAGGAUUAAACAGAGAUACGGCAUGGAGUAAAAACCAGCAAUUCCACUUUUAGGUACAUACUCAUGACAGAUGAAAACAGGUUCACAUACAAACUCGUAAUGUUCAUAGCAGCAUUACCUAUAAUAACUAAAAGGUAGAAAUAAACCAAAUGUCUAUCAACUGAUGAAUGGAAGAAUACAAGGUGGUAUAUCCAUACAAUGGAAUAUUAUUUGGCCAUGAAAGGAAGUAUGGGCAAUGAGGUCCUACUGUACAACACAGGGAACUGCAUGUGAUUGGGUCACUUUGCUGUACAGUAGAUAUUAAAGAAACAUUGUAAAU